GACGUAGGAGGCGAGCGUUGUCCGGAUUCAUUGGGCGUAAAGAGCGCGCAGGCGGCCUGGUAAGUCGGAUGUGAAAACCCGAGGCUCAACCUCGGGCGUGCAUCCGAUACUGCUCGGCUAGAGGUAGGUAGGGGAGAUCGGAAUUCCUGGUGUAGCGGUGAAAUGCGCAGAUAUCAGGAGGAACACCGGUGGCGAAGGCGGAUCUCUGGGCCUUACCUGACGCUCAGGCGCGAAAGCUAGGGGAGCGAACUGG
rnacentral:rRNA from 1 species